rnacentral:rRNA from 1 species
CAGUCGCCGCGGUAAUACGUAGGGUGCGAGCGUUAAUCGGAAUUACUGGGCGUAAAGCGUGCGCAGGCGGUUUUGUAAGACAGGCGUGAAAUCCCCGGGCUCAACCUGGGAAUGGCGCUUGUGACUGCAAAGCUAGAGUGCGGCAGAGGGGGAUGGAAUUCCGCGUGUAGCAGUGAAAUGCGUAGAUAUGCGGAAAGAACACCAACGGCGAAAGCACUCUGCUGGGCCGACACUGACACUGAGAGACGAAAGCUAGGGGAGCAAAUGGGAUUAGAUACCCCAGUAGUCCCUGUCUCUUAUA